rnacentral:lncRNA from 1 species
AAUACAUCAUUACAGUUUUUGGUUAGAUACCUUGCAAAUCUUAGCCAUUGACAUAAAAAAAAAAUCAGUCAAAACAGGACAUGGUAUCAAGAACUAGAUAAAACUAACUGAAACGAUCCACCUACAAUUCCCCACGGCAUCUUGUCAUUGUUGCUAGCUGACCAUUCAGAAUUACAAAGCAAGGCUUCCUCCCCCAUCAAUGCACAUGCAUCAUUUUUGUGACGUUGUCAGCCAACCCGUCUAUAAAACAAAAUGUUACUUCAAUACAAAAGCAAGCUCACAAUAGCCUAACAUUUUCAGGUGAUUCUAGCAGUGACCUCCAGGUUGGUGAUGAGGUUAACAGCACUAAUCUGGAGGAUGUGGGUAUUACGUACGCCUCUUGGAGAGGGAACGCAGCACCCUGCUACAACUCAACUCCCCGUGGAGUGAAAGAGGUAUGGGAUUGUAGGUGCAAGUAAGGAUGACAAAAGCAGAGAAUUUACCAUUUACUGGUUAUUUAUUUACAUGGUAAAUUUGAAGAAAAGGGGCUGGAUGGAACCAAAGCAAAGAAAGUAAAUGUCAAAGCCCUCUCUCCUACCUUACCUGCCUACCCACUACUUACCUAACUUAGCACCACCUGGUGCACCAACCAAAAUACAUGGGGGUGUUCCACCCAGGUCCUACCUAGUGUGCAGACAGUAAAUACUACGGGUUAUUUACGCCCACAGGCCUCUUGCCUAAGCACUCCCUGGUGCCUUCCCCUUCCCCCCCGGGAACAAAUGAAACAGAAUAAUCCAAACGUAAGUAAACAAUUUCAAUAAUCAAACAGUCCUUUGGACAUAAACAUACCUCCGCAGGACCUGCUACAAACAACUUCACCAACAAAAAAAAACCAGAGAAACAACUAACACAGGACAUCAAAGACGCUCUCGCUGUCUGAGAAACAAACUAACACAGAACAUAAUAAUCAGCUCUCUGAGAACAAAGGAACAUUGGCUUUGCUAGCUUCAGAAGGAGUCUGUAAUGGGAUACAGCUGUAUCUGACGAGAGGGCGGGGUCAGCUCCAAUUAGCAAUGGGGCCGACCAAUCAGCUGCUUGGGGGAAUUUCAGGAAUCCAUCCUGAAACACACAUAUACAAACAAAACCACAACACAGAAACUGGGGAACGUAACAGUGGGGGUGAGGUUAACUGUACUAAUCUGGAGGAAGUGGGGGGUGAGGUUAACUGUACUAAUCUGGAGGAAGUGGGGGGUGAGGUUAACUGUACUAAUCUGGAGGAAGUGGGGGGUGAGGUUAACUGUACUAAUCUGGAGGAAGUGGGGGUGAGGUUAACCGUACUAACAUGGAGGAAGUGGGGGUGAGGUUAACCGUACUAACAUGGAGGAAGUGGGGGUGAGGUUAACCGUACUAACAUGGAGGAAGUGGGGGUGAGGUUAACCGUACUAAUCUGGAGGAAGUGGGGGUGAGGUUAACGGUACUAAUCUGGAGGAAGUGGGAGUGAGGUUAACCGUACUAACAUGGAGGAAGUGGGGAUGAGGUUAACCGUACUAACAUGGAGGAAGUGGGGGUGAGGUUAACCGUACUAAUCUGGAGGAAGUGGGGGUGAGG